CUCCUCCUCUUUUUCCUCUACAGUCACAGGGCAGGCAUCAGCCAAUAGAUCAGCCAAGGGCAGGAAACGGCCGGGGUCAGAGGGGACGCUGAGAGCGCACGUGUGUGAUGAUAAGACUAACAGCCACCCGAAAGCUGCACCACAGCUAUGGGACCUUCAGGCUGGGCCCAAUCACCUGCGACCAACAAAGAAAAUCACUCUGACCAAAAACUGAUAGAGUCAUCUUACCUUAUCUUCUAUGACUGCUUCAGCAUCUUGCCUGUUAUUGCUAUGGCUUCUAUCAAUAGGCAGUUAAUAUUACCAAACACUUGUCACCACAGGACAGUGUUUGGGUGUAUUUGGUUUGUCAUUUUUAUCCAGUGGCCUGGAUCAGGGAAUCCACCAACACCAGGAAAGAAGCUGGAGUCGUGCUCUUAAAGCACCAGCAGUGCACUGGUCAUCAUUGAGUACCAUGUAUGAUUGUUAUACUCG
ensembl:lncRNA